rnacentral:pre_miRNA from 1 species
UGAACCCUGCUCUGGCUGGUCAAACGGAACCAAGUCCGUCUGCCUGAGAGGUUUGGUCCCCUUCAACCAGCUACAGCGGGGCCGACAU